AGUGAACGCUGGCGGCAGGCCUAAUACAUGCAAGUCGAACGGCAGCACAGCAGAGCUUGCUCUGUGGGUGGCGAGUGGCGGACGGGUGAGGAAUACGUGGGAAUCUGCCCAGUCGUGGGGGAUAACGUAGGGAAACUUACGCUAAUACCGCAUGCGCCCUUCGGGGGAAAGCCGGGGACCUUCGGGCCUGGCGCGAUUGGAUGAGCCCACGUCGGAUUAGCUAGUUGGCGGGGUAAAGGCCCACCAAGGCGACGAUCCGUAGCUGGUCUGAGAGGAUGAUCAGCCACACUGGAACUGAGACACGGUCCAGACUCCUACGGGAGGCAGCAGUAGGGAAUAUUGGACAAUGGGCGCAAGCCUGAUCCAGCCAUGCCGCGUGAGUGAAGAAGGCCCUCGGGUUGUAAAGCUCUUUGUCCGG
rnacentral:rRNA from 1 species